CUUGCAGAAAAGGAGGAGGGUAUAAACCCAGUUAGAAGGGGGGUAAUCCGCAACUAGAUUCACUUCCCUUUUGCAAUGGACGAUCUGUAGAUUAGGGCACCGACAGAGAAGCGCCGUGGUUUCUUCGACUAAGGACCUUAUCUCCCAAGGCACCAGAUUAGGGUUUCGAAUGGCAUCCACAAGAGGGCCGAAGAGGCAGUGGCGGAUUGUGCAAAACCAUCGAUCACAAUGCCAGAGAAAUCUCGACACACGCAAGCACCAAAGCUUCACUACAAUCGUACUGCUUCGUCUCGGUUUCACCCCAUAAUAGCAUCUACUGGACUUGGCGUUUGCUAAAGCUGUCUGCACGACCUGUUCAGGGUUUGGUUGCUGUUGGCGAAAGAUGAAGUUGUUGUGGGCUUUCCAGAUUUGCCAAAGGAUGGAUGCAGUUGUCACCAAAUCUAGUUGGUUAUCCUAGCCUUGUCAUAAUGACCAUGAGGCUGAUUUGUUAGAUUUUGGAGCUGAUACUGAAGGGAAUCUAUCUGGUGUCUAGUGUUGGUGUAUUUGGAACGGCUCCAAUUUGAGAGAGCGGCAGAUACAGCACUUAACUUUUGGGGUAAAGUCGCUGCUCCAAACUGGUGAGAAGCCUAGGAAGCAGCAAUUAUGGAGCGGCACUCCUUGUCCCGUAACCAGUAAGCUUCAAAGUAUAAAGUUCUUUGAUAUUUAAUUCGAGAUGCUUCAGUUGAUAAUAGAAGUGGGCUGUGAUCUAAUCCAAGAGCUGGUAAAGCGAAUACUUCAGCGUGAGGGAAGAUCCAUCAAGGAGCAAUCGUUAAGGAGUUCACGGAAAGAAAACAUUCGGUGAGGUUCGGCAAUACGCUUUCCGACUUUCUCCCAAGGAUACAAAAUUUCAUUAAAAUCACCUACGCACAGCCAAGGCGAGGUGCAUAGCUAAACCAAAUUCCAAGUCCGUGCAUAUAAAGUCUAGAAAAGCCGAAGAGUGUUGGGCCACCUUCAAGGACACCUGGUCAUUCCAAAAAACUGCUAAACCACCUGCCAAGCCUAUUGGAUUUUCUAUAAAGCUUUCUGAGUAUCUAAGUUUCCUUUGAAGGGCCAGCCACCAAGGCCCAACAUGUAGGAUCAUCUGCCGCAAGAAUGGGAGUAUCUUGUAAAAUGGAUUCAUCGAGUCCUUCUUGUAGCUGAGUUCGAAGAUCAUGAGUGUUAAGUCGUUUUGCUUUCUUGAUUAGGCCUGAUCUUGCAUUCAAACGUGAGCUGCUAACUUUCUUUGACUUGAAAGAACCUGCUACCAUGUCAUUGAUUUUAAGUUGUUGCUGAUAUACGGGUAGCUUGUUAGUGUC